GAGUUUGAUCCUGGCUCAGGAUGAACGCUGGCGGCGUGCUUAACACAUGCAAGUCGAACGGAGCGCCGGACACGGACUAUUUCGGUAGGAAGCGUGCGGAGGCUUAGUGGCGGACGGGUGAGUAACGCGUGGAUAACCUGCCGCAUACCGGGGGAUAACAGCUGGAAACAGCUGCUAAUACCGCAUAUGCCCGCAGUGCCGCAUGGCACAGCGGGGAAAACUCCGGUGGUAUGCGAUGGGUCCGCGUCUGAUUAGGCAGUUGGCGGGGUAACGGCCCACCAAACCGACGAUCAGUAGCCGGCCUGAGAGGGCGGACGGCCACACUGGGACUGAGACACGGCCCAGACUCCUGCGGGAGGCAGCAGUGGGGAAUAUUGCACAAUGGGGGAAACCCUGAUGCAGCGACGCCGCGUGAAGGAAGAAGUAUCUCGGUAUGUAAACUUCUAUCAGCAGGGAAGAAAACAGACGGUACCUGACUAAGAAGCCCCGGCUAACUACGUGCCAGCAGCCGCGGUAAUACGUAGGGGGCAAGCGUUAUCCGGAUUUACUGGGUGUAAAGGGGGUGCAGACGGCCAUGGCAAGCCCGGUGUGAAAGGCAGGGGCAUAACCCCUGGACUGCACUGGGAACUGUCAGGCUGGAGUGCCGGAGGGGUAAGCGGAAUUC
rnacentral:rRNA from 1 species